AUGUAACCCAUGUUAAUUUAACAAAUAUGAAUUAUAGCCUGUAGUACACUACAUUGUCGAUAGGUGGCAGUAAAUGGUUUCAAGUAGUCUAAAACUACAUUGAUAUGCGGCAGAAUAUGGACUAGAAUAACCAGAAGAAGAAACUGGAAGAAACGUUUUGUGGUCAUUUUAUUGACAAAACUCUGUGUUAUUUUCAAUAUUUUUCAAGAGCUAGUUUUCAUCUAUGGUUGAUUUUUCGAUUCUUGUGUAACCGGACCCGGGAGAACUUUGUUUUUGAUAUUACAUUUAUUUGUUUUUUGAUGCGAAUCUCCGGUGAGUUCUGUGCUAUAAUUUUCUUCGUUAGCUAUCGAUUAGCCACAAGCUAAUAUUUUGCUGUUAUGUAUUAAAAGUUAUAUUGUGAUUUCAUUUUAUAGUUCAAUGUUGAAAGGAAAAAAAACAAUCGGAGAUACUUGUUUAUGAUUAAGAAUGUAUGUUUUGUAUGAAAAUUAGCAAUGCUUACGGCUAACUCUGAAAGGCUAUUCUGCUAAUAUUGCGCCUUUUUUUUCUUCUUGGAAUACUGAUACUGAUGAGGUAUCUAGUGACAGUGAGUUAUUUAUUCCACUGUACGGAAUUGAAGAAUGCUAGAAAAAGAUAUGUCAAUUCAGUGAAUAUUAUGUUGUGAUGUUUUGUUGAGCUAAAAGACAAAAUUGGUUAUCGCAGCUGUAAAUUAUUUUAUUUACAUGGAGUGAAAGAUAAACUUUCACUGAAAUGACUUAGAAUGGUGUAUCACAAAAUAGUAAAAUACAUUUCUGCUAUAUGCAGGUUGUUUUUUUUGUGUUGAGAGACAUCGUGUGAAGAACGGCGAGCCAGGAUCCAAAAGAGCAGAUUGAGAUUGUGUCCACUACGACGUCAAAGAAGAACCUUCUUCUGUUCCACUUGAUCGGUGGGAUUGCACAUAUUAACACUACCCGGGUAGCUACCAUAUAACAUUCAGAUCUGAAAACUGAAUUGAACUGAAAAAAAAGAAAGGAAAAACUUUUGAACUUGACUGACUUGACUUAGGACUACCAAAAGGAAACAUUGACUAUUUUGUUCUGUUUCAUUAUUGUCAAAAUGUGUAAUAAAUGUGUUUUGUUCAACA